CCCUCUCAUUAACUCAGUUCGUUAGUUCCCGGGGCUCUUCCCGCCCCUUUCUGAUCAGCACCUGCUCCCUUCAUAAGGCAGUGAGAAGUGGGGACAGCGCAGGGCCUCUCUCAAGGUCCCCACGGUCGUGCCCAGCUGAGCCUCCCCCUCUCUGGCUCAAGGACGAUGAAGCUCUGGGGUGUCCUGGUGCUGGCAGGGCUGGCCGGCAGCCUGGUCGCUGGGUCACCUGUGACUGACCCUGCCUCCUCCACCAGCUCCUUUUCCCAGCUGAUGUCUUCUGCCAGCUCUGCCUUCUCUACUCUUGACCUGAUGCCUCCCACCAGUUUGGCCACUGCCGGUGCCUUGGUGACCUCCUCUGCUCCCUUGGACGACUCGUCUUCCCCCGGGCCAGGCUCUGAUGGUGACACAGAUGACAAUACGGAUGGAGAUGGCAGGGGAUUGCUUGCUGCAUUUUCCCGAUUCAUUGCAAAAGCCAUUCGUUUUGUGUGUGACAAGUACCAAAAGGUGUUUGGGCUGCUGUUUGGUUGAAAGACAAUGAAUGUGGGAGUGGGCAGGGGAAUGGAAGGAGUCUUCCAUCCCUGCAGCAACAUCCACCGCUCACCGAUGCUGAGUCCCGGAUGGUGAUCUUGAUGCCGGCUCCUCUCACAGGGGCUUUGACCCUACCCAGCAGAGCUGACUCCACUGACAUCCGCCCAACCGCAGCAUCUGACCAAUGUCAAAUUCGAAAUAAAGUCCAAACCAUAGAGCUGAG
rnacentral:lncRNA from 1 species